rnacentral:rRNA from 1 species
UACAGAGGGGGCAAGCGUUGUUCGGAAUUACUGGGCGUAAAGGGCGCGUAGGCGGCCUGCUAAGUCGAACGUGAAAUCCCUCGGCUUAACCGGGGAACUGCGUCUGAUACUGGAUGGCUUGAGUUUGGGAGAGGGAUGCGGAAUUCCAGGUGUAGCGGUGAAAUGCGUAGAUAUCUGGAGGAACACCGGUGGCGAAGGCGGCAUCCUGGACCAACACUGACGCUGAGUGAGCGAAAGCCAGGGGAGCAAACAGG